rnacentral:rRNA from 1 species
UAACGCGAAGAACCUUACCAGCCUUUGACAUGGCAGGACGGCUUCCAGAGAUGGAUUCCUUCCCUUCGGGGACCUGCACACAGGUGCUGCAUGGCUGUCGUCAGCUCGUGUCGUGAGAUGUUGGGUUAAGUCCCGCAACGAGCGCAACCCUCGCCCUUAGUUGCCAUCAUUCAGUUGGGCACUCUAAGGGGACUGCCGGUGAUAAGCCGCGAGGAAGGUGGGGAUGACGUCAAGUCCUCAUGGCCCUUACAGGUUGGGCUACACACGUGCUACAAUGGCGGUGACAAUGGGCAGCGAAAGGGCGACCUGGAGCUAAUCCCAAAAAGCCGUCUCAGUUCAGAUUGCACUCUGCGACUCGAGUGCAUGAAGGCGGAAUCGCUAGUAAUCGUGGAUCAGCACGCCACGGUGAAUACGUUCCCGGGUCUUGUACACACCGA